UGGAACAGUGUUUUGUUUAUUUCUAACCAUCAACAGUUGAAUAAUCUAUAAAAUCCAACAGCACAGCGUCUGAUUUGUACGACUUAUCGUCUGAUCAUCAUGUCCAAAGUCCGCAACCAAAUGGCCAAAAAUAAGAUCAAUCAAUGGGACAAACGGGACCGACUGAAUUGCGAAAUGAAUUUUACUUGGAAUUACAUGAGCAGUGGGUGUUGCAGGAACAAAAUCUGGAAAAAGACAGCUACCGGAGGCAGUUUUGUUAAUCAGCAACAUAAACAGCUCAGCUACAGAUCUGGUUAUGUUUUAUUAAAUGUAUCGGAGUCCUAGAACGCAGCUGAAUGAUCGGAUUUACGAGCUGAAAUAGUGAUGCUAAAAUCUAGUGACCAAAUUUUUUUUCCGGAAUCAGCGGCUAACCAUUUGAAAUUUAGCCUUAAACCUGAAGGAAAACGUAUGAUUCUAUCGCGUCUACAGGUAAAAAUCUUGAAACCACAGAACGCAGAAAGAACGUAUCAUGCAGUUUUCGGCUAGUUGCAGCUGCGGAAACAAACCGUUCCAAUCAGAAUUUUCAUAGAUGAAGGCUUUCUAAAAGCUGAAUACGAAAAUUUAUUAGUGUGCUUCCCAAUUGGAUAAGAUAGAGAAAAAUUUGUAGCUGAUCCAGAAUAGUUGUAGUGCGAUGCGAAAUGCGAUUCUUUUUUAACUACUAUUACGAUAGUUCAAAAUAAUGCACUGGUUGUACAAACUGAGAGCAACUGAAACUAAUAUUUUCACAAACUAGCAUGUAGUUUUAUAGAUUUUAGAUACUUAAUAGAUAUAGAUACUUAAUGAACCCAUAA